CCUACGGGUGGCAGCAGUGGGGAAUAUUGCACAAUGGGGGAAACCCUGAUGCAGCGACGCCGCGUGAGUGAAGACGUAUUUCGGUAUGUAAAGCUCUGUCAGCAGGGAAGAAAAUGACGGUACCUGACCCAGAAGCCCCGGCUAACUACGUGCCGGCAGCCGCGGUAAUACGUAGGGGGCAAGCGUUAUCCGGAUUUACUGGGUGUAAAGGGAGCGUAGACGGCAGGGCAAGUCUGGAGUGAAAGGCGGGGGCUCAACCCCCGGACUGCUCUGUACACUGCCAGGCUGGAGUGAAGGAGAGGUAAGUGGAAUUCGUAGUGUAGCGGUGAAAUGCGUAGAUAUUAGGAGGAACACCAGUGGCGAAGGCGGCUUACUGGACUGUAACUGACGUUGAGGCUCGAAAGCGUGGGGAGCAAACAGGAUUAGAUACCCGUGUAGUC
rnacentral:rRNA from 1 species